GCCGUAAACAUUGAUAGAUUAAUACACCCCCUAUCCGCCCGGGAACUACGAGCACCAGCUUAAAACCCAAAGGACUUGGCGGUGCUUUAGAUCCUACUAGAGGAGCCUGUUCUAGAACCGAUAACCCCCGUUCAACCUCACCUUUCCUUGUUUUUCCCGCCUAUAUACCGCCGUCGUCAGCCCACCCUAUGAAGGUCUAAAAGUAGGCUAAAUUGGCACAGCCCAGAACGUCAGGCCGAGGUGUAGCGUAUGGAAGGGGAAGAAAUGGGCUACAUUCCCUAUAUUAGGGCACACGAAUGGUAUGCUGAAACGCACAUCUUGAAGGAGGAUUUAGCAGUAAGCAGGAAGUAGAGCGUCCUGCUGAAAUUGGCUC
rnacentral:rRNA from 1 species